rnacentral:rRNA from 1 species
CCUACGGGUGGCAGCAGUGAGGAAUAUUGCUCAAUGGACGCAAGUCUGAACCAGCCAUGCCGCGUGCAGGAAGACGGCCCUAUGAGUUGUAAACUGCUUUUGUACGAGGGUAAACGCAGAUACGCGUAUCUGUCUGAAAUUAUCGUACGAAUAAGGAUCGGCUAACUCCGUGCCAUCAGCCGCGGGAAUACGGAGGAUUCAAGCGUUACCCGGAUUUAUUGGGUUUAAAGGGGGCGUAGGCGGUCGGAUAAGUUAGAGGUGAAAUCCCGAGGCUCAACUUCGGAAUUGCCUCUGAUACUGUUCGGCUAGAGAGUAGUUGAGGUAGGCGGAAUGUAUGGUGUAGCGGUGAAAUGCUUAGAGAUC